rnacentral:rRNA from 1 species
UACAGAGGUCCCAAGCGUUGUUCGGAUUCACUGGGCGUAAAGGGUGCGUAGGCGGUAGGGUAAGUCUGAUGUGAAAUCCCGCAGCUUAACUGCGGAACUGCAUUGGAAACUAUUUUACUAGAGGAAUGGAGGGGAGACUGGAAUACUUGGUGUAGCAGUGAAAUGCGUAGAUAUCGAGAGGAACACCAGUGGCGAAGGCGGGUCUCUGGACAAUUCCUGACGCUGAGGCACGAAAGCUAGGGGAGCAAACAGG